AGUGAACGCUGGCGGUAGGCCUAACACAUGCAAGUCGAACGGCAGCACAGUAAGAGCUUGCUCUUACGGGUGGCGAGUGGCGGACGGGUGAGGAGUACAUCGGAAUCUACUUUUUCGUGGGGGAAAACGUAGGGAAACUUACGCUAAUACCGCAUACGACCUACGGGUGAAAGCAGGGGAUCUUCGGACCUUGCGCGAUUGAAUGAGCCGAUGUCGGAUUAGCUAGUUGGCGGGGUAAAGGCCCACCAAGGCGACGAUCCGUAGCUGGUCUGAGAGGAUGAUCAGCCACACUGGAACUGAGACACGGUCCAGACUCCUACGGGAGGCAGCAGUGGGGAAUAUUGGACAAUGGGCGCAAGCCUGAUCCAGCCAUACCGCGUGGGUGAAGAAGGCCUUCGGGUUGUAAAGCCCUUUUGUUGGGAAAGAAAAGCAGCAGGUUAAUACCCCGCUGUUCUGACGGUACCCAAAGAAUAAGCACCGGCUAACUUCGUG
rnacentral:rRNA from 1 species